GACGAACCGUGCGAACGUUGUUCGGAAUCACUGGGCUUAAAGGGCGCGUAGGCGGGCGGUCAAGUCGGUGGUGAAAGCCUCCAGCUUAACUGGAGAAGUGCCGCCGAUACUGACUGCCUCGAGGGAGGUAGGGGCAUGUGGAACUCAGGGUGGAGCGGUGAAAUGCGUAGAUAUCCUGAGGAACGCCGGUGGCGAAAGCGACGUGCUGGACCUCUUCUGACGCUGAGGCGCGAAAGCCAGGGGAGCAAACGGG
rnacentral:rRNA from 1 species